GGAUUAGAUACCCUGGUAGUCCACGCCGUAAACGAUGUCUACUAGCUGUUGGGUUCCUUGAGGACUUAGUGGCGCAGCUAACGCAUUAAGUAGACCGCCUGGGGAGUACGGCCGCAAGGUUAAAACUCAAAUGAAUUGACGGGGGCCCGCACAAGCGGUGGAGCAUGUGGUUUAAUUCGAUGCAACGCGAAGAACCUUACCAGGUCUUGACAUACAGAGAAUUCGCUAGAGAUAGCUUAGUGCCUUCGGGAGCUCUGAUACAGGUGCUGCAUGGCUGUCGUCAGCUCGUGCCG
rnacentral:rRNA from 1 species